rnacentral:lncRNA from 1 species
UUGGAUUUUAUUAUUGUUAUUGUCUCACAGAACAAGACUAGCCAUAGGUAGGCAGUUGCAGGGUGGGGUCAGAAGCUCAUUGAUGUCAUUGAAGACACUGCUUUUCAUCUUUCUGUCCUGUCAUCUUCAAAGUGCCGCUAUAUUUCCCACCUAGGUCACAGGGUGGCUGCAGCAUAGGCAAGCUUUACAAUUGCAUGUGAAAAUACCUGGAAGAAAGAAAAAAAGAGAUAGGGAGGAAGACACCUUAUUUUCUCUCUUCAUGUAAGGGGAAAAAAUUGUUUCUCAGAAACCCCCCAGUAAACUUCCCUUUAUGUUUUAUCAGACACAACUGGAUUCAAAAGCCAUCUUGAACUGCAAGAGGGACUGGGAAAAGUGAAGCUAUCAUCUCUGUCCCUAUCUUGGAAUUGGGCACUUCCAACAGGCAAGAAGGAUGAGCAAAACACUUGUUGGGUUGGCUGUUGUAAAAAUAAGCCACUAUUUUCAUGCUUCUAAACACUUUAUGUGUAUUAGUCCACUAGAUCCUCAUAACAAACUCUUGGGGUAAGUAUGAUUCAUAAUCAUUUACAGAUAAGCAAACUGAACUGCAGAAGUGUUAACAUAGUGAGGAAGUGAAGGAGCCAAGAUUCCAACUCCACCAUCCGGCCGCAGAGGCUGCACAAGGCGCGGUUCUCAGCCAGCAGCGUCUGCCACAGCAGGCUGCCUCUAAAAUCAUAACACGUAAAAGUUCUAAGUGAUGUUUGUCUGUCUCAGAAGUGCAAAUGUGACAUUUGCCCCUGGCUGCAGUCAUGGUGUGGGUGAAAAGAGCAGAGGGGCAUCCAAGAGUGACAAGAAUUGCUUUCUGUCAUCAUCAAGGCUGCGUCAGCUCACGCUGUGGUCAGAUCCCUCUUGUACUGGUCCCAGAAGAGAAAGACUAUGACAUUAUUGCUCCUCAGGAAGAGGUGAAGCCCUCUCACCCCCAAUAUGCAUCAAUGUCAGAAUCAGGAAGCAGAUGAGAGGUACACAGCCCCCUGAGAAGCAGUGCUUGACACAGGCUACUGUAAUAGGUGUCCACCCAUCUGAAUCCUACUGCCCAGCACUCAGCUCAGAUGGAACAAGAGGCUGCCAGACGAGAGGUAGGCAAGGUGGCACAGACUCAACUGUCACCCUAACUGUAUUUCUCACCCUACCAUAACCUUCGUUACUGACAUGGUCAAAAAGGAAACAGAGGCUGCGGCAAUGGCAGCAGCAGCAACAGUGAAAGCAACCAAGAGAGAAGGCAGCUGGCACUGGAGGGCAUCGUGCCAGGUUCCAGGCACAGAGGGAUUCUGGCAGUGAUUACAGCGGUAAAUAGAGCUGAUGGUUGUGCCGGGACCCUAGGCCCUGCCAGGAAGGGAGCAGGGGAGAUGAGAUUCUUAUAAUUACACUCGUUUAGACUCAGCCAUCAUGGGGUUACCCACAGAGGACUCUGAUCUGUCCCCAGGCUGGGAGUUGCAGAAGCACCUGUUACAGCAGAAGUCAUUUGGCAAGCCAAACAAAAUGCGGAUUCAUCCAGGCCACCUGUAAAGGAAUUUAAUGCCUAACAACCUAUGCAAAGCUUCUAAUUGUCAUAAUUAAUUUGGCAUCUAUUCACUGCUGGCACCAGUUUGAUCGCUCCCAUUUCAUAGAUCUUUACAAUGUCACACUGUUGCUCCAGCUUAUUUAGAAAUCCUGGAAAGAGGGGAAGUGGAGAUUGCAGGGCAGCCUCAGCCCUCAGAAAAGUUUCUCUGCUUUCUCAUGUGUCCCAGCUGACAGGAUGCCAGGCCAGCAAGCUAAUGACCAACAGCUGAGCGCCAUGGCAAAGAACGAUAUAAAGACAAUCAUCUGGCUUCUGCUACUUUACAAACAAAAGGCAAGAGAUAGCAUACUGGAGAGAAAACAAAAUAAAAACUUUUAAUAAUGAUAGUGUCCCAUGUAUCAAUCUCCCAUUGUAUUUCCACAUUGCACAGUUAAUAUCAGAGGCCACCUCCACUGACUCAGACUUCCAUAAACAAGACACUUUGGACACAAAGGAGUUUCUCGUUCUGUUUCUGUAUCUGUCGCCUCUAAAAAAUACAGUGAUCCAAAGUUCAUCACUAAAAGAUGUGGGGAAAAAGUGGUGAUCAAAACUUUGCAAUACAAUAAUGGACCUUUUUAAAUCUAAAAAUGUGAAAAUCAAUGCAUCAAUUUUCAUACUUUCUCUUUUAAAUUUUCUUUCUUUUGAUCCCCAAUAUAUUAUCAGUAUAAUCAAAUGACAUUAGUAUUAACCAACAUCAGCAGUCUGUAUUCUGUAAGGAAUUGAGCUCAUACAAUGAAUCACCUCGAGUAUUUUUUAAACACAAAAUUACAACAAUUUAUAAAUGUUAAUCUUUAAAAUGCACUUGAGAAUGAUUGUCCCAAAGGUUAAGUGGAAGCUUUUUCAAAAAACAGAUCACAAGGAACUAUGCCAACCCUUUCCUAAAAAUUUCUAUAAAAUUCAAAGGAAGAAAUAAACAGGAAAUCUAGUUUACAAAUGAAAUUUAAUAUAGUAGUCGUAUAUUUAUAGGCCAAGAGCUCAUACGUAAAAUGUGUGAAGGAACACAAUGGUCAGAUAUUGAGAUGCUGGCAACUGCUCAUCUGCCAAUGCUGAAUUUGGUAAUUCCUCAUUUAUACAGAGGGAAAUUAAGUACCAAAGGGCUAGAAUAAUUUACUUAUUGUGGACAAAAAAGUUAAGGACAAACUAAACUUAGUCCAGAUAAUUCUCAGAUCCUCACACACAUAAAACAACUUGCAUUUAUUUUAUUUUUAUUAUUUAUUUAUUUUUUCGAGGCCAAGUCCCCCUCUGUCACCCAGGCUGGAGUGCA